rnacentral:rRNA from 1 species
GGCCCCUUGAAUGGAUAAGGGGUCGGGUCUGCCCGGUGAAGAGAAUUCUUUAAACGGCCGCCGUAAUUGGUGCAAAGGUAGCAUAAUCUCUUGCCCUUUAAUUGGGGGAUUGUUGAAUGAUCUGACGGGGGUUCGGCUGUCUCGCUUUAAAAAAAUGAAAUUAACUUCUAAGUGAAAAGGCUUAGAUAUAUGGGUUGGACGAGAAGACCCCGUGGAGCUUACUUGUAUGUCCAUUAGAAUGAGUAUGGUGACUAAUGUAUUUGACAGGUUCGGUUGGGGCAACAUAGGAGUAGAAAAACCUCCUGUAUUAUGUAUGAUCCGUUAGGGGCGAUUAGAAGAAUAAGUUACCCCGGGGAUAACAGCGUAAUCCCUUUUGAGAGUUCCUAUCGAAAAAGGGGGUUGCGACCUCGAUGUUGGAUUAGGACAUCCCCAGGGGGUAGGUUCUCUGGAAGGUAGGUCUGUUCGACCUUUAUAGUCCUACA